AUUGAACGCUGGCGGAAUGCUUUACACAUGCAAGUCGAACGGCAGCACGGGAGCUUGCUCCUGGUGGCGAGUGGCGAACGGGUGAGUAAUGCGUCGGAACGUGCCGAGUAAUGGGGGAUAACGCAGCGAAAGUUGUGCUAAUACCGCAUACGCCCUGAGGGGGAAAGUGGGGGAUCGCAAGACCUCACGUUAUUCGAGCGGCCGACGUCUGAUUAGCUAGUUGGUGGGGUAAAGGCCUACCAAGGCGACGAUCAGUAGCGGGUCUGAGAGGAUGAUCCGCCACACUGGGACUGAGACACGGCCCAGACUCCUACGGGAGGCAGCAGUGGGGAAUUUUGGACAAUGGGGGCAACCCUGAUCCAGCCAUUCCGCGUGAGUGAAGAAGGCCUCGGUGUAAGUACGUCUUCUAGCUGAGUGAACGGUAGCGCG
rnacentral:rRNA from 1 species